CGAUUUGAGAUGGGAGAAUGUUACAGCAGGACAUCUGUGGUCCCAGGGUGUGACACCCCAGGGAGGAGCAGCACCACGUCUGGAAAUUCAACAUCAAAUACACAACAAAGAAACAAAAUACCGCGCCACCUGGGAAGACCCAUUCAUCUCUAUGUCCCUGAAAGAAAGUUUGUGAUACCAAAACGGC